AGAAGAUACAGUAUUUUGAAAAUAGUUUUUGUUAACGGAAUAAAUAUCAGUUGAGUCUAAUAUACUUUUUCCAUCAGGUUUAGAAUGACAUGAAGGUGAUUAAAUGACAGAAUUUCCACUUUUGGGUCAUCCAUCCCUUUAAUCUCAUUGUGAAUGAUGCAUAACAGACGAAAUAUGCAGUAAUAGUUAUAGAGUUAAUGUUUUUAUGAGAGAAAACUUUAAUUCUUUUGUGCAGAUUUAUACAGAUGGAUCUAAGGAUCCAAUUGAGCAAAAAGUGGGCAUAGGAGUGUAUAUUCCAAAUUUUAAGACAGAAAUAAGCUUGAGGCUAAGUAACAAACUGUCUGUGUACUCUACUGAGCUAACUGCAAUUAUAGAUUUUAAUUUGCUCAGAUUCUUCAUCAGCUCUUAAAAGUAUAAAGUCUACAAAAAGUAAUAGAGAAGAUUUGUUAAUGGAAAUUUAUACUUUAUUUUACAGAUUGAAAAUGGAAGGUAUAACUGUAUAUUUU